GCUGGGUGUGCUGGUGCACACCCGUAAUCCUUAGUGGCUUGGGAGGCUAAGGCAGGACGAUUGCAAGUUCAAAGCCAGCCUCAGCAAUUUAGCGAGAACCUGUCUCAA
rnacentral:sRNA from 1 species